GUCGAUACAGCUGGCUCCAUCGGUGUGGCCUUGGAACUGUCUGGAACAACACAAGACACCAACAUCAAGUUAGGAACAGAGGUAAAUCACUGACCUAACGAGGGUCUGGUUGUGGAGGUCCCACACAGCGAUGUUUCCAUCUGAGCAGCAGGAGAAACACACCUUGGCGUCAGGACUGAUGGCCAGCGCAUAGCAGGCCGGAGCAGAAGAAUGAAGCUUUUAGGCUGCAGCUGACUCGCCUUUGUGUUAAACUGAAGAUGUGGAUGUCAGCUUUAACGAGAGAGGCUGCAGCUGUUGGCCAGGCUCCAAGAGAGCAGGAAGACAGAUCAAUAAGACUGUGGAAGCUCUUGGUUGAAUUAAAACAGCACCCUGAUGGCUUUAUAAGACCCAACUGCACUCUGGACGCACCUUAAGGGUAUUUUGGAGGCCAUAUGAGUUGAACGGCAUGAAGCCACAGUAUCAAAAUGAGAAAUGGGAGGCAUUUGGGAGGAGUUAAUGAGCUGGGUAAUGGCAGACACGGCUGGCCAAUCAGAACAUCAUUACUCAGCAGGCCUUUUUUUUUUUCUCUCACCAAGGAUUAUUUCAGCACAACAGUGAGACACUUGCUGAAUUAUUCACAUCUCUCUUUGUUGGGAUCAGGGGGGCUAGAGUGGGAUGUGAGUAAGGCCACAUUUGAUGCUCAAGAAAACUCUUAAUGAAGGACAAUGAUCACCCCAGGAAACAUGGUCUCUCUGUUCUGGUUGGAUGCCUUGUUACCAAUUUGAAAUGUUUACAAUAACACACAUGUAGAACACUUAACCAAACGCCUCAUGUUUUCUCUUGCUGUGACUUAUC